rnacentral:rRNA from 1 species
GACAGAGGUGCCGAGCGUUAGGCGGAAUCACUGGGCUUAAAGCGUGUGUAGGCGGACUCGUAAGUGCUUUGUGAAAUCCCACGGCUCACCCGUGGAACUGCUUGGCAUACUGCGAGCCUUGAGCCACUUAGGGGCAACCGGAACAAACGGUGGAGCGGUGAAAUGCGUAGAGAUGUGGAGGAACACCAGUGGCGAAGGCGACUCUUUGGUCUGUAACUGACGCUGAGGCGCGAAAGCGUGGGGAGCAAACAGG